rnacentral:sRNA from 1 species
AGCCCCUCUGCCUGGCUGCCCAGUCUGGAAAGUGAGGAGCGUCUCUGCCCGGCCGCCAUCCCAUCUGGGAGGUGAGGAGCGUCUCUGCCCGGCCGCCCCGUCUGAGAAGUGAGGAGCCCCUCCGCCCGGCAGCCGCCCCGUCUGAGAAGUGAGGAGCCCCUCCGCCUGGCAGCCGCCCCGUCUGAGAAGAAGAAGCCAUGGAUUUAAUAAAUAGAGAAACAAUGUCUGAAUGGAAGCUACAAAGUGAGAUACAGAUAAGUCACUCUUGGGAAGAAGGCUUGAAACUGAAUGACAACGGCUUACAGAAAUCAUCCUCUCUAAAGUGCAUUGAUUUAACUCCAGUAUCCUCAAUGGCUUCUUCCAUCAAGAAGACUGGGAAGAAGAAGUCAAAAUCCUACCAACAUUAUUAGACCAAGUAUCCUUGGACCAUUAAAAAGAAAAGGUGAAAUGGCAUUUCAAUAUCAACCAAAAAAGAUUUUCCAAGGCACAACCAACAUGCUUUCUUCUGAUACUUCCCAACUGUCAGAAAAUAAUGUGUGUCUACUUCCAGCUACUUUUGAUGGAAACGACAGCAAUGCUGGAUCUUCUGGUAAUUCGUCAGCUGAAAUCGGCACUGUCACAAACUCUCCUGU